UACGGGGGGAGCAAGCGUUGUUCGGAUUUACUGGGCGUAAAGGGCGCGUAGGCGGCGCAACAAGUCACUUGUGAAAUCUCCGGGCUUAACCCGGAGCGGCCAAGUGAUACUGUCGUGCUAGAGUGCGGAAGGGGCUACUGGAAUUCUCGGGUGUAGCGGUGAAAUGCGUAGAUAAUCGAGAGGAACACCUGCGGCGAAGGCGGGUUGCUGGGCUGACACUGACGCUGACAGCGCGAAAGCUAGGGGAGCGAACGGGAUUAGAUACCCGUGGUAAGU
rnacentral:rRNA from 1 species